UGAGUAACGAGCGCCUCUCGCAGCAAUGCGGUUUGCUUGGGACUGACGGCCUGGUUCGUCUUUCCUGCAAUGCUCUCUGGGGGCUACGUUUUUAUAUACAAGUCAGAAGUUAUAGAAUGUCUUUUAAUGACUGUUGCCUAGCGCAUGGUCCUAAACAAUUACAACUUUCAGCAACGGAUCUCUUGGCUCUCCCAUCGAUGAAGAACGCAGCGAAAUGCGAUAAGUAAUGUGAAUUGCAGAAUUCAGUGAAUCAUCGAAUCUUUGAACGCACCUUGCGCCCUUUGGUAUUCCGAAGGGCAUGCCUGUUUGAGUGUCAUUAAAUUAUCAACCUUGCUCGCUUUUACCGGCUUGAGCUGAGGCUUGGACGUGGGGGUUUUUGCUGGCUUCCUUCAGUGGAUGGUCUGCUCCCCUUAAAUUCAUUAGCGGGAUCUCUUGUGGACCGUCACUUGGUGUGAUAAUUAUCUAUGCCGUUUGACCUUGAAGCAAAUUUAUGGGACCCUGCUUAUAACCGUCUCUUACCGGGACAAUUUAAUAACAUCUUGACCUCAAAUCAGGUAGGACUACCCGCUGAACUUAAGCAUAUCAAUAAGCGGAGGAAAAGAAACUAACAAGGAUUCCCCUAGUAACUGCGAGUGAAGCGGGAAAAGCUCAAAUUUAAAAUCUGGCGGUCCUUGUGGCCGUCCGAGUUGAAUUAGAGAA
rnacentral:rRNA from 1 species